rnacentral:rRNA from 1 species
GCCGAGGAAUUACGAGCCCAAGCUAAAACCUAAAGGACUUGACGGUGUUCCACCACCCCCUAGAGGAGCCUGUUCUAUAAUCGAUUCUCCCCGAUCCACCCCACCACCUCUUGAACAUCAGCCUGUAUACCUCCGUCGCAAGCUUACCAUGUGAACGCACUCAGUGAGCUCAAAGGUUAAUAACCAAAACGUCAGGUCAAGGUGCAGCCUACGAGGUGGAAAGUAAUGGGCUACAAUUUCUACUAUAGAACAAACGGAAAACUGCAUGAAACACAGUUAUUGAAGGCGGAUUUAGUAGUAAAAAGAAAAUAGAGAGUUCUUUUUAAUUAGGCACUGGGACGCGUACACACCGCCCGUCACCCUCUUCUAAUAUACACAAUAGUGUUAAUAACAUAACUUAAACUCAACAGAAGAGGCAAGUCGUAACAUGGUAAGCGUACUGGAAAGUGCGCUUGGAAUAACAAAAUGUAACUUAACAAAAGUAUCUUGCUUACACCAAGAAUAUGUCUGUCUGACCCUGACCAUUUUGAGCCUAAAACCUAGCCCACCGACCCCCACAUGUGGUAAUCUUACAAGUUAAAAUUAAAACAAAAC